CGUUUUCUUUUUUAUUAGAAAUGGGUAACAUUAAUUUUAUAAGGUUCAUAUUCUUUCACCUAACUCACCUAUCUUCAACUCCAGGCCCUUUAGUCUCAGCUAGCAGCAAGUGUGAGAGUGUUACACAACAUGGAAUAUACUUAUUCAGCAGAGGAUGCGGAGGCAGAAACUUACACCAGCAGCAGCAGCAGCACCCCAUCAAGAAACAAUGUUCAGUGAUGAUCAAAUCAAAUAAUUGGAAACCAUGCUUGAGACAGAAUCAAGGCUAGAGCCUAGAAAGAAGUUGCAGCUGGCAAGAGACCGUGGAUUGCAGCCAAGACAGUUUGCUAUUUGGUUUCAGAACAAGAGAGCUAGGUGGAAGUCAAAGCAACUUGAGACAAAUGGCAAAUUAUUAAAACAAGAUGUAUGAGUUUUAAUCCAAGAAAAGUAUUUAAAACAAUUGCAAGAUGCUAUUGUGAAAUAAGAAGGAAAGAACCUUAGAAGCAUGGUCAUGAAAAUAAGGAAAGCUUUUGGCAACAGUGCGCUUCAUCUCCAUCUCCAUUCGCAUGCUCUCAAUCUCCCUUGUUUAAAGGCUGACCCAAAUGACAGAUUCAUUGCAAUCUACUUUCACCUUUGCACAUACAAGUACACAUGUUACCACUCAUAAUAAUACUAAUCUAUGAGGACAAAACAAAACAACCGACAACAACAAUUGAAUAAUACCAUAAUCUUUUUCAUCUCCCAUAAAUCUCUCUCAUUUUUCAUUCAUCCUUUUCAUAAUCAGGCCAAUAGAAACAAUGAUUUGGAAAACCAUAUCCUAACCUAGUACUUGGCAAGCAAUCAUUAUAACAUUAUUAAAUUCCACUUCCAUGUUACACAGCCAAAGCUAGGCAAACAGGAUAGGUUUAUAGUGGGUCAAUAAAACAAGGGAAAACUACGACCAAGUUAAUAUUUGAGCGUUUGGUUUCGUUUCAUCUCCACUUCCCUCUUUCAUCACAGCCAAAAUUGUAGUCACCGGAUUUAGCUAGACAUGGAACAAUGAAAAAUCCAUAUGAACCUGCACGUGUUUUUAUUAGAAAAUUCAAUCACAGGACGCAAGAUCAUCUUCAUGUAGUUAGUUAGAUGUGACAAGCCGACUAACCAAAGAAUUGUAUUCAGAUAGCAGUAUAACAUCAUGAUUGUGAUCUUCCAUCAACGUAUACUGUACAGAGUUAUUCUUUAUCUGAUUUCAAUGUUAACUGAAGAUCUUCAAGCAUAUUUGUUAAGGGAAAAUACAUGGAUAGAGGCAUUGCAAAAAUAACAAUGCCGAAAAGAAGCUGCAGAGAGAAUGAAACUGAAGAUCAAUAUUGAAUCGCAACCUAAGAAAAAGACUAGAAGGAUUAUAUGAUUUCAUAUCAAUACUCAACUAGAACAUUGGUCGGGCAAAAAAGUAUAUGAAGAGGCAAUUUAGUAUUGACUUACAAGGUAUGGUCACAUACCAUGUGGCCAGUUAAAAGGUAUUUGAAAAGACUGGGUGGUAGGUAAGGAAUGCCGGGCCUUACUACUCUGUAGAAUAUACUUUUCUGUUUCUAUACAAUGCAGAACAAAUA
rnacentral:lncRNA from 1 species